rnacentral:antisense_RNA from 1 species
ACUCCAGAAUGGGCUCCCUCAGUCGGAAGUCUCCCCGCCCCACCGCCCCCAGUGUAACCCCUCCAACCCAGAAACGCCGACUGCACUAGCGCCCCCUGCCCAGAAUCUCCACCCUUAGCGCUGAAGCCACGCCCACUGGGUGGGCGAAAGGAAUACGACACAAGGAGAUUCCCGUAACAUAGGAUGCAUCUUGUACUUGAUGUGAAAAGAAACCACUCGGCUGGGCGCAGUGGCUCACACUUGUAAUCCCAGCACUUUGGGAGGCCGAGACGGGUGGAUCACGAGGUCAGGAGAUCGAGACCAUCCUGGCUAACACAGUGAAACCCCGUCUCUACUAAAAAUACAAAAAAUUAGUUGGGCGUGGUGGCGGGUGCCUGUAGUCCCAGCUACUCAGGAGGCUGAGGCAGCAGAAUGGCAUGAACCUGGGAGGUGGAGCUUGCAGUGAGCAGAGAUCGCCCCACUGCAAUCCAGCCCGGGCGACAGAGUGAGACACCGUCUCAAAAAAAAAAAAAAAAAAAGAAACCACUAUGUCAGUUUAAUUGGCAGCUUUUUUUCUUUCUUUUUUCUUUUCUUUCUUUCCUUUCUUUCUUUACAGCACUUAAAGACACAAUUUACAAUAAGCAGU